rnacentral:rRNA from 1 species
AGAGUUUGAUCAUGGCUCAGAUUGAACGCUGGCGGCAGGCCUAACACAUGCAAGUCGAGCGGUAGCACAGAGAGCUUGCUCUCGGGUGACGAGCGGCGGACGGGUGAGUAAUGUCUGGGAAACUGCCUGAUGGAGGGGGAUAACUACUGGAAACGGUAGCUAAUACCGCAUAACGUCGCAAGACCAAAGUGGGGGACCUUCGGGCCUCAUGCCAUCAGAUGUGCCCAGAUGGGAUUAGCUAGUAGGUGGGGUAACGGCUCACCUAGGCGACGAUCCCUAGCUGGUCUGAGAGGAUGACCAGCCACACUGGAACUGAGACACGGUCCAGACUCCUACGGGAGGCAGCAGUGGGGAAUAUUGCACAAUGGGCGCAAGCCUGAUGCAGCCAUGCCGCGUGUGUGAAGAAGGCCUUCGGGUUGUAAAGCACUUUCAGCGGGGAGGAAGGCGNAGGUUAAUAACCUCAUCGAUUGACGUUACCCGCAGAAGAAGCACCGGCUAACUCCGUGCCAGCAGCCGCGGUAAUACGGAGGGUGCAAGCGUUAAUCGGAAUUACUGGGCGUAAAGCGCACGCAGGCGGUCUGUCAAGUCGGAUGUGAAAUCCCCGGGCUCAACCUGGGAACUGCAUUCGAAACUGGCAGGCUAGAGUCUUGUAGAGGGGGGUAGAAUUCCAGGUGUAGCGGUGAAAUGCGUAGAGAUCUGGAGGAAUACCGGUGGCGAAGGCGGCCCCCUGGACAAAGACUGACGCUCAGGUGCGAAAGCGUGGGGAGCAAACAGGAUUAGAUACCCUGGUAGUCCACGCCGUAAACGAUGUCGAUUUGGAGGUUGUGCCCUUGAGGCGUGGCUUCCGGAGCUAACGCGUUAAAUCGACCGCCUGGGGAGUACGGCCGCAAGGUUAAAACUCAAAUGAAUUGACGGGGGCCCGCACAAGCGGUGGAGCAUGUGGUUUAAUUCGAUGCAACGCGAAGAACCUUACCUGGUCUUGACAUCCACAGAACUUNUUGGUGCCUUCGGGAACUGUGAGACAGGUGCUGCAUGGCUGUCGUCAGCUCGUGUUGUGAAAUGUUGGGUUAAGUCCCGCAACGAGCGCAACCCUUAUCCUUUGUUGCCAGCGGUUAGGCCGGGAACUCAAAGGAGACUGCCAGUGAUAAACUGGAGGAAGGUGGGGAUGACGUCAAGUCAUCAUGGCCCUUACGACCAGGGCUACACACGUGCUACAAUGGCAUAUACAAAGAGAAGCGACCUCGCGAGAGCAAGCGGACCUCAUAAAGUAUGUCGUAGUCCGGAUUGGAGUCUGCAACUCGACUCCAUGAAGUCGGAAUCGCUAGUAAUCGUAGAUCAGAAUGCUACGGUGAAUACGUUCCCGGGCCUUGUACACACCGCCCGUCACACCAUGGGAGUGGGUUGCAAAAGAAGUAGGUAGCUUAACCUUCGGGAGGGCGCUUACCACUUUGUGAUUCAUGACUGGGGUGAAGUCGUAACAAGGUAACCGUAGGGGAACCUGCGGUUG